UACGUAGGGUGCAAGCGUUGUCCGGAAUUACUGGGCGUAAAGAGCUCGUAGGCGGCUUGUCACGUCGGAUGUGAAAGCCCGGGGCUUAACUCCGGGUCUGCAUUCGAUACGGGCUGGCUAGAGUGUGGUAGGGGAGAUCGGAAUUCCUGGUGUAGCGGUGAAAUGCGCAGAUAUCAGGAGGAACACCGGUGGCGAAGGCGGAUCUCUGGGCCAUUACUGACGCUGAGGAGCGAAAGCGUGGGGAGCGAACAGG
rnacentral:rRNA from 1 species